AUGGACUUGCUCCUGUUACUCCGGCGGAGGGUGAGUACACGUGGGCACCUGCCUAUAAGACUGGGAUAACUUCGGGAAACCGGAGCUAAUACCGGAUACGUUCUUUUCUCGCAUGAGAGAAGAUGGAAAGACGGUUUACGCUGUCACUUAUAGAUGGGCCCGCGGCGCAUUAGCUAGUUGGUGAGGUAAUGGCUCACCAAGGCGACGAUGCGUAGCCGACCUGAGAGGGUGAUCGGCCACACUGGGACUGAGACACGGCCCAGACUCCUACGGGAGGCAGCAGUAGGGAAUCUUCCGCAAUGGACGAAAGUCUGACGGAGCAACGCCGCGUGAACGAAGAAGGCCUUCGGGUCGUAAAGUUCUGUUGUUAGGGAAGAACAAGUACCAGAGUAACUGCUGGUACCUUGACGGUACCUAACCAGAAAGCCACGGCUAACUACGUGCC
rnacentral:rRNA from 2 species